UGGGGAAUAUUGCACAAUGGGCGCAAGCCUGAUGCAGCCAUGCCGCGUGUAUGAAGAAGGCCUUCGGGUUGUAAAGUACUUUCAGCGGGGAGGAAGGGAGUAAAGUUAAUACCUUUGCUCAUUGACGUUACCCGCAGAAGAAGCACCGGCUAACUCCGUGCCAGCAGUCGCGGUAAUACGGAGGGUGCAAGCGUUAAUCGGAAUUACUGGGCGUAAAGCGCACGCAGGCGGUUUGUUAAGUCAGAUGUGAAAUCCUCGGGCUCAACCUGGGAACUGCAUCUGAUACUGGCAAGCUUGAGUCUCGUAGAGGGGGGUAGAAUUCCAGGUGUAGCGGUGAAAUGCGUAGAGAUCUGGAGGAAUACCGGUGGCGAAGGCGGCCCCCUGGACGAAGACUGACGCUCAGGUGCGAAAGCGUGGGGAGCAAACAGG
rnacentral:rRNA from 1 species